CAGUUCAGACUGCAGGCUGCAACUCGCCUGCACGAAGUCGGAAUUGCUAGUAAUCGUAGGUCAGCAUACUACGGUGAAUACGUUCCCGGGCCUUGUACACACCGCCCGUCAAACCAUGAGAGUUGGCAACACCCGAAGUCGGUAGUCUAACCGCAAGGAGGACGCCGCCGAAGGUGGGGUUGAUGAUUAGGGUUAAGUCGUAACAAGGUAGC
rnacentral:rRNA from 1 species